CAAGGGAUCAUAGAAUCUUGCUACUAGGGAAAUAAUUGUGCUCUUUCCACACCCACUGCUACCAACUAAUGCCAUGGUUUUACCAGCAGGGAUUGACAAUGAAAGGCCUCUAAGUAUCAAAUUGUCCUGCCGAGAUGGUUCCUGCAGCUUUUGCCUGAUUGAAAAUUUGCAUGUCCGGAGCAGCAUAAGUGAGUGAUCUGCAUUAAUAUAAGGAAUGAUUAUAGAAAAUAUAUAUUUCACUUAAUUGUCUGUUCUAUGGCAGAAAUAUGAAGAGGAGAAAUAACACCUACAUAGCUCCAAAGAGAAUGCUCAUAACUGCAGCAAUGACUUCGCCUCCAUUUGACUUCUGUACAGUGACUACAAUGGCUCCAAUCCAUAUGAUCAGUGCCCAAGAAACAAAUGUUACAGUUUGAAACAUUCCUGUUCCAACUCCCUUUAUCAGUGCUUCCCCCUUGUUGAGAGUGGCUCCAAUGACAAGAAUCAUAGGAAGAACUAACAGGGUAAGCAAUGACACUUCCCAAGAGCAAAUGGCUGCAAUCAAGAUUCCAGAGAAAAAGGUUGCAAAGCUCGACAGAAAAUGGGCCAACUGCCGCAGAGAAAUUAGGUUAGCACAUAACAUUACAUCCUUUUCUUUGUGAAUUUUUUUUUUUGUACUUCAGAAUUUGAAGAGAGAUUGAUUACAUAUAUAAGCAGUAAGGUGGGCACUUAGUGUGAUCUCUAACCUAUGAACUACAGACUAAAAGCCUAAAUGAUAGGAAGUAAGAAGUGAAUUAGGGUGUUUGUUAAAUGACAAGCCUUUUAUUUUUUUGACCUGUUUAUUUGUGCAUUGCAAGUAUGAUAAAACUAUUUAAAUCCUUCAAUUACUUGUAGAAAUGCUCUGCUAAUAUUAUCACAUA